GAUGAACGCUGGCGGCGUGCCUAACACAUGCAAGUCGAACGGAGAUUACGGACGGAAGUUUUCGGAUGGAAGACUGUAAUUCUUAGUGGCGGACGGGUGAGUAACGCGUGGGCAACCUGCCCUAUACAGGGGGAUAGCAGCUGGAAACGGCUGGUAAGACCGCAUAAGUCGGUUAAAUCGCAUGAUUUGAUCGGGAAAUGAGCAAUCAGGUAUAGGAUGGGCCCGCGUCCGAUUAGCCAGUUGGCAGGGUAAAAGCCUACCAAAGCGACGAUCGGUAGCCGGACUGAGAGGUCGGACGGCCACAUUGGGACUGAGACACGGCCCAAACUCCUACGGGAGGCAGCAGUGGGGGAUAUUGCACAAUGGAGGAAACUCUGAUGCAGCGACGCCGCGUGAGUGAAGAAGUAUUUCGGUAUGUAAAGCUCCAUCAGCAGGGAAGAUGAUGACGGUACCUGACUAAGAAGCCCCGGCUAACUACGUG
rnacentral:rRNA from 1 species